UGUAGGGUGGUGAAACAGGCAGACACACCUCCUUGUCUCGGUGGCGGAGAAUCUGGAAACCCAGUAAUGGUUAACCACUCCUUGAAGGUUCGAUUCCUUCCCCUACAG
rnacentral:tRNA from 1 species